UUUACUUUAUUAUUAUUAUUAUUAUUAUUGUUAUUAUUAUUAUUAUUAUUAAGUGGAAAUGCUGACACAGCAUUUCCACUUAUUGUUAUUCUCCUGUUUCUUUAUUAAGUGGAAAUGCUGACACAGCAUAGUCCCCAAGACUAUAAAUCCUGGGAAACAUUACAUGAAGCAGCCAAAGUGAGAAACCAUACCCCUAUUUUAGACAUUGCUAAAAAAAAACUUGGAGAAAAGGAUGUGCCUACAAUUUAUUAUCACAGAAAAUGCCGAAGCCUCUUCCAAUUCCCUCUUCAAUGACUCCAAUUGAAGAGGGAAUUGGAGUCAUUGAAAAAGAAAGCGAACAAAAGCAUUACUGGUGAUGAAGAUGUUGAGUACGGCUGUGUAUCAAAAAGGCCUAGAAGGAGAUCUUCAUCAGCAUCAAGGGUGUAUGAUCAUAUCUGCAUUUUUUGUAAGAAAUCUUCAUCAGCAUCAAGGGUGUAUGAUCAUAUCUGCAUUUUUUGUAAGAAAAAGAAGAUUUUAAAGGGCUCCAAGUCACGUGAAAAGCUUACACAAGCUGUACAACUCAGUGCUGAGGGUGGAAAAUGGAGACAGAAGGUGAAUCUGAACAGUUGGUGGUACACUGGAUGGACGGCCAGCCAGCACCUGAUGCGGUCCUGGAUCUACUGGCCUGUAACUGUCCAAAGAAAUGUUCACUCCCAAAAUGUGUCUGUUUUGCAAAUGGCCUCAAGUGUACUGACAUGUGUAUACUGGCAGACUGUGAGAACCAAGCAUCCACCUCAGACAGUGUGGAAAGUUCAGAUGAAGAAGACAUGGAAGAAGUUGAUGAAAAUGAUUUUGAUUAUUAGGUUGUGAAUGUAUAGAAGUCAAAAGUAUGAUCUGUAUAAUUGAGAAUGGGAGAGAUUCAGGCCUACACUAUUCCUGAACGGCAAACGUAGGGAUAUACACCAAAAUCCUCUUUCUUGGUUUAACUCUGUCCCAGAACAAAGCAUAGAACAAGCCAGGAACUGACAUGUAGAGACGGUAGCGGGGAUCCAGGCCAAAAUAAACAUACAAAAAAAAAAAAACACCCUCCCCUAUUGUUGCUACCUUGUCAUGGUGGGGAGGCUUGUGUGCCUCAGUGACCCUGAAGACUACACCAGCCGGGGUUAUACCCCUGGUAGGUACAACCAAGCCGGGCAGUUUUCAGGUUAGAGGCCAGUCCAAAAGCAGCAUUGCCAUCACCCUCUUUCAAUGUGCUUUCACUGUGAUAAUAGUUUAGGGGAAAAGGAGUAUUUUGGGCAAAUUUUAAUGAGUUUUGAGCUCAUUUGCGUAUUGUUGUCUGGCGAAAUUAACAUACUUUUCCAACUAGGAUUUCAUAGGACUUAUAUUAUGUUAGUCUAGAUACCUCAUAGAAAUGAUGUAUGGUGAAAAGAAACCCUUUCUAUAGGUUUUUUGGGGGGUUAAGUUGUAUGUUUUCAUAUAUUGACCCAUGUAAUUUUCGCCUAGUGUUAUAAAAUAAAAUGCAUGAUAGCACCCAUUUAGCUACCACUGCUGCAGUGCUAUCACAUAUUUUCUUACUCUAUACAUGUAUACAAUGUCAAAAAUCACUAUGAGCAUUAUUUCACACAGUUGAUACCGACCAACCCCCCUGGUUCAUGGCCUAUGGUGUCUGUCUGGUGUACAACAGCUUCGACAAUCAAGGGACGUCUUUGGAUAAGGAUAAGUAAAGUUAGUUGUUUUCUUUACUCGAAUAUUGACGCACAGUAUGUACACAUGAUACGAACCUUUUACUUGACUGUGAUGUCUCUCCUGCUGAUUUGCGCUUUCGCUGCUGCUGCUGCUGCUUGCUCACUUUUGGCACUUGAGAUUAAGAAUUAGAAAAAAAAAACAACACAGAAAUGGUAUAAAACAAUUUAGCAUGUUCCAGCACCCCUGGAAUUGUAUAUGAAUAUCUUAAGACGUACCUUGAAAAUCACCAUCAUCAUCAUGUUCUAUAACAAUCGGGUAUGUCCAUCCCCAGAAGUCGGCAUCUGUGGGGUUUCUGCAAUAAAUAGGUGGUUAAUUAUAUGUUUACAAAAAAAAAAAAAAAAAAAAAAAAAAAUUAGUAGUAGUUAGACAGACUUUCAUACCUAUUAAUAGACAGCUUGGCUUUCGAUUUGUUCUUUCUACUCAGCUUAUUUACCACUGGCUUGUUACUUUUGGCUUUAAAACAGAUAAAGACAUGAUAAUAUAAGGUGAGUAAGGCGUUGUAUGAUAAAGACGUAGAUACUCACGUACUCGCAGCAAGAUCCAUGGCAGAACAGGAAUUGUCGAUUCUGCAGGAUGUGAAAAACCACAAACACGCCUAAAUGAAUCAGAGGUGGGAUUGGGGCGCAAUUUAUACAUGCCUACCUAGGUUUGACACGCCCCUAUAGGCGGUACCAAGUCCUCCCAUUUUAACACGUUCACAGGAUUAUAGACCAAUCAAGCAAAACACAUGACAAGAUUUAAAAAAAACCCACAUAUUUCUCAGACACAUCUACAACUGUUGAUAAAAACAACAAAUCCGAUCAGCAUACGAAAAUACCUUUUGCUAGACACCAAACACUUUUGAGAGAAUAUGGUUUUUUUACGUAGAUUUUUUUCUAGCAUUUUUGGUAUGCAUUUUGCCUUUCCUUCCAGUAAAGUGUGUCGAUUUUCACAAAAUGUUUUAAACUCAAAAAUAAUUCCUGCCUUUGCCUUACAAUGACAAACUAGGCUAAUAUCAUGAGCAUUGAUUAUACCAAAUAUAUACGCUCAGUAUAGGCAACCAGUCCGUGGAACGAACUGCAGGAUUAACAUUAUGGUGACUUGCAACGUUAGAUCAGAAGUAUGAACAGCAAAUUGUAAUUUAGCCUUUCUAGAGUUCUAACAGCACGAGGAUGCGUGUAACUUGUUGAAAACAAAUUAACUUUAAUGAAAGGAUUUCACAUGAAACACUGUAUUUUCUGAAAACUGUGUGUGUGUGUGUGUGUGUGUGUGUGUGUGUGUGUGUGUGUGUGUGUGUGUGUGUGUGUGUGUUUGGGAGGGUAGGUAUGCAUGAAAAAAAAGGAAGCUAGCGGGUGACAAAACUCAGUGGCCCAGCAUCCUGCAAAAAGGAAGCUAGGAGGUGACAAAAAUCAGUGCCAUGCAUCCUGAGGCUGAGACACAUCGUCUCAUCUAAGUUGACAUCUACUUGCUAAAUGGAAAUCAGAAGUUAAAACAGCAUACGUAAAGAGCCUCUGCUACACACCAUAUGUCCCUGCAUCCUGGUGCUCUGAGACACGUCGUCUCAUCUAAGUUAACAUCUACCUGCUAGAUGGGAUCAGAAGGUAAAACAGCAUACGUAAAGACCUUCUGCUACACACCAAACACUUGCUGAGAAAUGUGACUUUUCCACAGUUUUUUUUUUAUUUUCACAAAAGGUUUUAAACUCAAAAAAAAAUUCCCGGAUGUGACGUCAGUCAUCCUUUACCCGGAUGUGACGUUGAACUCGGAUGUGACGUCAGUCAUAAUUAAUUCCAGUUACACUGCUCCUUAGUGCUGAUUGGUUGCGAGCAUAGACUGUAUAUAAUAUGGACAACCUGGUUCAGCCUACCGCCUGUAUACGGAUUUGAAGCCAAAAAGCUCUCGGUAUUUCUGGGAUUUUUCUUCAUUUCCUGAAACCAGCGCUGUGCAGUAGCAUUGUGCGCAUUCGGCCGCGCAGUCGCAGAGAGUCACUGUGAUGACGCUCGGCUCAAACAGCGUAUCCCCCCCGGGUGAGCUACACAAUCCCUGAACGCCCAUAGGCUGUAUCAGGUGUCAAUCAUAGCAGUCAUAAACCCCCGAAUAACUUUUAAAAACGGAGCUUCACAGAUAAAAGAGGACUUGAGCACAAACCAGUCUUACAAUAACUACAUGUCAACAUCGCAAGCAGGGGGAAGAAAAAUGUAUGUUCUGUGUAAUAAAUUUCUAAAGUUUGUCCACAUCCCCAUGAGCUUUGCUGGCGGAGGCGGGAUUUAUUUAUAUAUUUAUUUAUUUUUACUGCAGCCCAUCAACAGAGGGUGCUGUUCUCGGAGUGGCUUCACCCAGCGAGGAGGCAGACGGCGUCUAUUCUAUUUACAGUCUAUGGUUGCAAGGCAGACGCUGCUCAUCCGUGUCGUUCAUGAGCCCAAACAAAGUUAGCGUGCUACAAUAUCAGACAGUAGAAACAAACCAGAAAGUACAGGAAAUUGUCUGAAUCCUCCUUUAGCCACAACCACCAACACAAGCAAGAAAAUGAAGAAAAUACCAGAGAUUCUAGCAGAAUAACUGGCGCAUAAAAAGGAGGUAGACCAUCCGGACAAGAGCUAAAAAAAGCUGGGUCAACAAUGAUGGGGUACACUUUGGGAUCUUACAGACCCUGUAACCUUUAUGCUGGACAGGUAAACUGCUUUAACAAAGUUAGUCAAGUGUAGCAUAAGUGUUUUUCUUGUCAAACGGGACCUGCUGCAUGUUGUAGCGCCACUAAACUGUUUACCUCGGGUCCUGGAGUAUGUCACUUAAUGCUAGUCCUGCAAACAUUGUGUUUGCUGGUAGUCUGUUGGCAUCUACAGUAGAACCAAUGCUUUUUACUUUCAUGUUGACCGGGCUCCAUUUGUAAUUUUCUGAAGUAUUUAUCUGCAUUAUACCUGAAAUUAGUUGGAACGAUACAAGCGAGCAGGAGCAUCUGUUUGUGGGCGGGGCUUGCUGGAGCAGAGACGGAGGGGAGAGGAGGAGCUGAGGUGAAAACUUGUUGGGAGUGGUAGUGUUUACAUUCAAGAUUUCUCCUAAAAACUGGUACUUCCUCAGAUCCUGCCUACCCCUCCUUUAAAUUCAAGUUUGACUCCAUUCUAACAACAGAUUAACUCCACACCAGUUUAACAGUUUGACUUCAGUCCAUUUCUCCUCUUUUUGCUUUUGUCUCAUGUGUUUGUUGUAUCUUGUUUUAAGUCUUUAUCGGUUGAGUUUCACAUCUCAUCCUCUUCUGUAUUGUAUUUUUAUAUAUUGAGUUUCAUGUCUCAUCCUUUUCUGUUACAAGUCUUUAUUUCCUGAGUUUCAUGUCUCAUCCUAUUCUGUCUCAUGUCUUUAUCUACUGAGUUUAUAUUUUUAUUUCAAUAUAUUUCACAAAACACAAAAACUUUUUCCUAAAACACAGAAACAUUUUUAAAUAAAGCAAAAAAUAUUUUGCAGAUUGGAAUAUUUAUUUCUAUUGGCCUUAAGUGCCUUCAGAAAGUUAAAGUCAGAUGUUCAAAACCUACGCAAGUAAAAGGCUCUAUGAGGCUCUAUCUUAAAUUUUGUACACAAGUAUUAGACACAUUUUUUUUCUGAUUUUGAAUGCAUUUAAAGGGAUAUUCUGGCAUAGAAUUAUGUCAGGGUCAAACACACUAUAACACCAAGUUAGACACCCCCUUGAGAGACAACCACAUGAUAGCAAUAAACAGCGGUCUACAUCUCCAUGUGCACACCUCAACCAAAAAGCCACUCUAUAGCCACAGAUAGUGCUCAGAACAGCACCUAACUUCAUCAACAGUACUUAUAGGGACCCAGCCAUAGUACUAGCCACCAAACAUCUUUUCAGCUUUGCCUAGUUUCUUUGGUAAAGAGACUAAACACAACUCACCCACUCUCCUCCAGCAGCUGGUUGUUUGUUGAGGAGUCCUGACGAGUCUUUCACCGUGUGCAGCAGAAUUUCGCAGCUGAAGGGGUUCCCCCCACAUAGUCAACCGCUCCGCUAAGUGCUAUCUGUUUGACAGGCGUGGUGAGGUGUCAACACAUUUAAUCAGUCAUAACUAGCUGAAUACUAAAUGGAUUUUCACACAUUUUUUUAAUUGCAAAUGCCAUACAUGUAGGUAUAAUACAGGACACAUGGUUCAGGGCAUAGCUGUCAAGUCUCCCAUUUUGCGUAAGGAAAACUAUCGUAUUUUCGCCCUCUUUCUCGCUGUCCUCCUGUAUUAGUAUUCUCUGGUAAAUCUGCUGUAUUAUAAUAUGAUUAAAAAACAUUCCUCUUCCUCUCCAAACUGAACUUUGUCAUUAGCCCUGCCAGAACUGCCACCUGCAAUAGCCUGAGUGGCAAUGUCAGCAAAGGUAGGCCUAUGAAUCAUCUAAUUAUAUUUAGAAAGUGGUUGACAAGUGGCCUUUUUUAGAUUUCUUCUACACCUGUCUGAAAAUGCAAGGGAUACUGGAGCUUGGUUGGGUUGGAGAGAUGGCUCAUAGUAGGGACCAGAAAAUUUCGGUUAUUUUUAAGUCCAAACCCUAAUGGCUCAUUGUGUUUUGAUAUUCAUAGUGGGCUUAACAGUAACAGAAUAUUCUGAUAUGUGAUAUAUGGUAGGUAUCUUGAAACACACACAUUAAAUAUUUCAUAUUGAUUAUAUAUAUAUAUAUAUAUAUAUAUAUAUAUAUAUAUAUAUAUAUAUAUAUAUUUACACUUCUGUACAGCAGCCAACUUAACGGCCCCCCCAAAUUGUGAAGUGACUAACCGUCAUGAGCUGAAACACAACUAGGUCAGAGAUUAUCUAGGCACCCCCUUUUUUGGUACAUUAUGUUAUUGUAACACAAGUAAAAACCUUAUAAUCAUAUAGUGGAUUUGUAAGCAUGUCUUAAUUGCAGCAUCUUAUAUGUGUGCCAGUAUGUAUAAUGCUGUUCUUCAUUACAAUUAUGAGCAGCAAGCAGUUCUUCAUUGCACAUGCAUGUGGAACUAAUAAACAGAGUCAUGUGUAAACAGAUAAAAUCUGUUUACACCCUAACCCUAACCCUUAUAAGCUAUUUUAUCAAAACAGUGUCCACCCACAUGUCAACAUCACAAGCAGGGGGGAGAAACAUUUAGAUUCUGUGUAAUAAAUUUCUAAUGUUUGUCCACAGCCCCAUAAGCUUUGCUGGCAGAGGCAGGAUUUAUGACCCAUACUGCAGCCUGUCAACAGAGGGUGCUGUUCUCGGAGUGGCUUCACCCAGCAAGGAGGCAGACUCUGUCCAUUCUUUAUACAGACUCUGUCCAUUUGUUUUCUAUUUGAUUUUAUCACUGAAUAAAUUGCAAGAGCACUUUCUAAACUUUAUAUGUCAGACUCCAUCGAUAAGGUGCUGUCUCUUCUGUACAGCACCUUUGUGGAGUCUCUCCUUGUUAUUGUUCUCCGGCAUCGGGUCCUCACGUUGCACCGGCACAGUCAACGGCACUCCAUUCACCAGUGCAACAUUGUGCUAAACUGUACUGGCCCAAAUAAUGUCCCACACCCCUUCAGGAGAGUACAACAACGUCCCCACUGCUGGACUAAGACAGAGCUACCUGCCUGUUGAUAAAAGGCAAGCAGAUUGAAAUUGUUGAGUCCUAUAAUACCUUGGUGUCCAUUUGGACAAUAAAUUAAACUGGAAAGAAAAUACCCAGGCCUCAUUGAAGAACUCAGUCUAGACUUCUUCUUCUCAGAAAGCUAAGAUCUGUCAAUGUCAGCACUAGGCUUCUGGAGUCUUCUGGCUAGGGUCCUUUUUUAUACUGUACUUUGCUGGGGGGGCAGCAUAUCAUCUGAUGACAAAAAUAGGAUCAACAAGAUGAUCAAGAGGGCCAGAUCAGUUAUUGGCUUAGUCCCAGAGUCUCUUGAGGCCAUUGUUGAGAGGAGAACCAGGUCUAAAUUAAUAUUAAUCCUGGGCUACAAAGAUCAUCCGUUGCACUAUGUCUUCAAAGGUCUUGAAAGCUCUUUUAGUGAGUGACUUGUGAUGCCUUGGUGCUCCACUGAACGACAAAGGUCUUUUGUUCCAGCAGCAGUGAGAUUUUUUAACAGUGUGCGCUAAGGUCUGACUUGGCACUGCUGCAUAGUUUUUUGAGGUAUUCAUUUUAGUAUUUAUUUAUUUUUAUCAGGCUUUUGUUGUAUUUAAUUAUGUCCUUAUCUUUUAUUGUACCACUUUUAAAUCAUGUUUCACUGGCCUUUACUGUGUUUGUUGUGAAUCCGGUAUUGAGUCUAUGUUUUUUCUGAUGUCUCUAUGCUGUUUGUUGUCUGUAUGAGUCUUCUUGUCCUGGUGGUGAAAUUAUUUCCCCAAUGCGGGAUCAAUAAAGUCUACCUUACCCUACCUUACCUUAAAAUUCAUCCCU